UUCGCGCCGCCCUCUUCCGGUGUCCGAGACAAGAAAACGUUACACCCCCCCGGCGAGGGCGCGCCGGUGAUGACGCAAUCAGAAGCGCAGCCGGAAGUAGGCGUGUAAAAACCGGAGUGAAAGUGCGGGGGGGGGGAGGGCGGAAACGGGGCCCUUUAAAAGUGGGAAAUGGGGCCCUAACGGGGGAGGAUAACGGGCCUGGGGGGGUAAAUGGGGCCUAGGGGGGGUUAAAUGGGGCCUAAUGGGGGUUAAAUAGGGGCUGAGGGGGGUUAAAUGGGGCCUAUAGGGGUAAAUGGGGGAGGGGAUUAUGGAAACAGGAAGUCAUCGAGCUGAAGUGGGCAAGUGGGACGUCAUAAGAGCGCGUUCGCGCCGGAAAGUGACGUCAUUUUGGGGGGGAGGGCGACGGCGGGGUGUGAAAACGGAAGUUCGCGGGAUACGGAGGAAGUGAACGGGCCAUAAGAGCGCGUCGCUGGCCGGACAGAUGGACGUAGUUUAUCCAGCGACGCAAAGGAGGAGGAGGCCGCCAUGUCGUUGGCGGACGAGCUGCUGGCCGACCUGGAGGAGGCGGCGGAAGAGGAAGAGGAAAGGUUUGGACCUCGGAAGGGAAGAUGGGGAACCCAUCGAGGAGGUGCGGGAUGAACCGGAAAACCGGAACCGGCCGGAGAGUCCCGUGAAGAGCAUCGCAAAGUUAUGGGACAGCAAAGCGGUACGGAACCGGGAACCGGAAAUGGAAAUAUGGAAAUGGAGGGCGGGGGCAAUUGGGGAGAGGGUCUUAAUGGGAACCGGAACCGGGAAAUGGGAAAUUGGGGGGGUCUCAAUGGGAACCGGAACCUGAAAUUGAGAAUUGGGGGGGGGGUGGGGGGGGGGGGGGGGAAUAUCUUAAUAAGAACCGGAACCGGAAAUUGGGGAGGUGGGGGUGGGGUGGGAAUGGGGUGGUGUCUUAAUUGGAACCGAGGAAACCGGAAAUGGAUUUGGGGGGGGGGGGGGGGUCUCAAUGGGACCGAACCGGAAAAUUGAGAUUGGGGGGGGGAUGGGGGGGGUCUCAAUGGGAACCGG
rnacentral:lncRNA from 1 species